AGAGUAACUAGAAUAAAAGAAUUUUAGACUUUAUAAUUCUUCACAUGAAUAAUCUCUAUAAAGUGGCCGAAAGUACAACUUUUUGAUUUUAUUUCAUCUCUAAGAAUAUCACUUUAAAAUAUUGUUUAUUAAAACUAAACACUCUAAAAUCCAUACCCACUCUGUUGUGCUGUCUUCUGCAAAAGAAACUUAAGAAUUUGGGCUUGGAACCAUUUGGAAUCCCAUCAUCUGCACUUAUUAGCUGUAUAACAUUGGCCAUAUUAUUUAACCAUGAUGAGCUUAACUUUGCUCUUUCUUUAGUGGAAGUGAUUGGUUUUUUUGUUUUUUGAGGAUAAGUUAGAUACUGCAUGUGGUAAGUGCUUAAUGAGUUGCAGUAAUGCUGAGGCUCUAAUAACAUUUUAUUUUUUUAUUUUUAUUUUGCUUUCAUAACAUUUUAAAAUGCCAUUGCUUUUGGUUUUGUAUCUCUUCUUCUCAAGAGGAACCUAUGCUCUGAUUUAUCUGUACUUAUUUAUAGCUGCUAUUAGAGUAAACAAUGUGACCUUCCUCGACAAAAUUGAGCCCCUGUCCCUAAUGGAACUUUUUAACUUUUAAUCCUCAGCACUGAGUGGUAUCCACUCCUUGUAAUAUGCUGCAGUAAUUAAUUGAAGGGCAAAAUCAUGAUAAUCUUGACAGAUGCAGAAAAUGUACAUGAUGAAAUUCAACAUUCAUUUAUGAUGAAAAAAUGCUCUUAGCAAACCUGUUUAAAACAGACAUUCAAUGAUCUAAUAAUGGAUGUCUACAACAAGCAAAAUGACAAAAUAUUUAGUGAUGAGAUAAUGAGAUUAUUCCCUUCGAAAUUGGGAACAAGAAAGGAUAUUAUCACUCCUAUUCAACAGUUGCUCAAGUUCAUAGUAAUGCAGCAGGCAACACAAAAGACAUGAAAUUGUAUAAAGUUUUGAAACGAAAAUAUAAAAGUAAAUUUUUUUUUUUUUUUUUAGGGCCGCGCCUGCAGCAUACGGAAGUUCCCAGGCUAGGGGUUGAGUCAGAGCUGCAGCUGCUGGCUUACACCACAGCCACAACAAUGUGGGAUCUGAGCCACAUUUGCAACCUAUACCACAGUUCACAGAAACACUGGAUCCUUAACCCACUGAGCAAAACCGGGGAUCAAACCUGCAUCCUCAUGGAUACUAGUCAAGUUCACUGGGACACAAAGGGAUCUCCUGAAAGUAAACUUCUAUUAUUUGCAAAUAUUAUGAUUAUAUCUAAAAUUUUUUAAAUAAUUCACAGUUAAACCAUGAAACUUAUAGAGUGUUUUGCAAGAUUUCUGUACGAAAAAUCAGAAUUUUAAAAUCAAUUUCUAAGACAACUUACAGAAUGGGAGAAAAUAGUUGAAAAUGAUGCAACUGACAAGGGCUUAAUCUCUAAAAUAUUCAAACAACUUACAGAACUCAACAGCAAAGAUACCAACAACCCAAUUGAAGAAUGGGCAGAAGACCUGAACAGACAUUUCUCCAAAGAAGAUAUACAGGUGGCUAACAAGCACAUGCAAAAAUGCUCAACAUCACUGAUUAUUAGGGAAAUGCACAUCAAAAUUACUAUGAGGUGUACCACCUCAUGCCAGUCAGAAUGGCCAUCAUUAAUUAGUCCACAAAUAACAAAUGUUGGAGAGAGUGUGGAGAAAAGGGAAUCCUUCUGCGCUGUUGGUGGGAAUGUAAAUUGGUACAACCAGUAUGGAGGUACUUUAGAAAACUAUACAUAGAGCUACCAUAUGACCCAGAUAUCCCACUCUUGGGCAUAUAUCUAGACAGAACUUUCCUUGAAAAAUACACAUGCACCUGUAUGUUUAUUGCAACACUAUUCACAAUAGCCAACACAUAGAAACAACCCAAAUGUCCAUCGACAGAUGACUGGACUAGGAAGAUGUGGUAUAUAUCACAAUGGAAUACUCCUCAGCCAUAAAAAGAACAAAAAUGCCAUAUGCAGCAACAUGGAUGGAACUAGAGACUUUCAUCCUGAGUGAAGUAAGUCAGAAAGAGAAAGACAGAUACCAUAUGAUAUCACUUAUAUCUGGAAUCUAAUAUAAGGCACAAAUGAAUCUUUCCACAGAAAAGAAAAUCAUGGACUUGGAGAAUAGACUUGUGGUUGCCUAGGGGGAAGGGGAGGGAGUGGGAUGGAUUGGGAAUUUGGGGUUAAUAAUAGAUGCAAACUAUUGCCUUUGGAUGAAUAAGCAAUGAUAUCCUGCUGUAUAGCACUGGGAACUAUGUCUAGUCACUUAUGGCGGAGCAUGAUAAUGUGAGAAAAAGGAAUGUUUAUGUGUAUGUGUGACUGGGUCACCUUGCUGCAUAGUAGAAAACUGACAGAACACUGUAAACCAGCUAUAAUGGAAAAAAAUCAUUAAAUAAAAGAAAUAAAGGAAGGGAAAAUAAAAAUAAUAAUAUCAAUUUCUAUACAUCAGAAAGUGUCAGGAAAUUAAAUUUAGCAUAUGCUUUUAUAAUUACAUCAUAAUAUUAAAUAUCUAGUAAUCUGAAUAAAAUGCUGCUAGACUUAUAUACAAAAAUUGCAAUCGCUAAGAGAUAUUAAAUAAAAUCUAAAUCUAAAUUGUGUUAUAAAAUAUAAAUGGAUUGGAAAACUCAAUCUUAUAUCAAUUGUCCAUGAAAUGCUGCAAUCUAAACUCAACAAUUUUUAAAAAUUUGGUGAGCUGAUUGUAAAGUUUACAAGGAAAUGUGAAGGACUUAAGAGAGCCAUGAUUUUUUUGAAGAAGAAAUAUGAGAUGAGAGGACUUAUUCUCAGAUGCCAAAAUAUUAUAAAGCUACAAUAAUUAAGGCAGUGUAGUAUGGGUCAUGAAUAGACAAAUAGACCAAUGUAGAUUUGAAAUAAACCGAAGAAAUCAGGAAUCAUCUGCCACAUAUGGGAACAGUUGCCUCUGUGAAACAAAGCUCUGAGAUCUGGCUGGACUCCACUUUGCAUGGGCAGAUGCUUGAUUAUAGGCUCUGGGGGCCAAGGGAAGCUAUAUUAUGAUAUGCUGCACUUAAUUCUGCCUGGUAUGGCCACCUUGCUCCCAUUAAGCUUUAAAGCCUUUGUUAAGAAGCUUAAUUCUGUAGCUCAUCUGACUGUUUCAAAUAUUUUUGGUAUGAGGACAAGCCUGACUAGAAUUGAGACAAAUGCCAAGAUUCUUAAAGAGAGAAAGGGGACCAGAGUAUUCUGUGUUUAGACCCAACCACCCAAUGUUGGGUCAUUGGGAGCAAUCUUUUUUUCUUUUACUUUUUAGGGCCAAACCUGCAGCAUAUGGAAGUUUCCAGGCUAGGGGUUGAAUCAGAGCUACAGCUGCCAGCCUAUGCCACAGCCACAGCAACACAGGAUCUGAGCCACGUCUGUGACCUACACCACAGCUCAAGGCAACACCAGAUCCCUGACCCACUGAGCAAGACCAGGGAUCAAACCUGCAUCCUCAUGGAUACUAGUCAGGUUUGUUACCCCUGAGCCACAGCAGGAACUCCUGUUGGGGGCAGUUUUUAUGGGCAAGUCAUAUCAGUUGAAUUGUCUUCUAAACCCGUAUUUUCCAAUGGUAGAGCUUUGGGGAUAAAGAGGAACGAUGUGAUAACAAACAGUAGGUAGAUCCCCAGUAGCUCCCAAUCCUGGUAGCCAAAUGCUAGGAGUAUAAACCAGCCAAGUGGUAAGGAUGAUUAAGGAAGUUGAGAGUGCAAAGGCAGGCAGGGUAUGACAAGUGAAAGUCUCACCUCUGGGAACCUGUCAAGAUAACACUGAGGAAAGAAGAAAGGUCUGAGCUUCUCUCAGGUGCCUGCCAUACUGACAGUGGUGACUUUUCAAUUAGAAAUUAAAUAAAUGCCACAAGUGUGGAUUCAGGAAGAUGAGAGAAUGGAGCUUCCCUGACCCAACUCUCUGUGUGGGAGGGGCUAAAAAUACAGGGGCUGAGUAUAAGCCAAGCACAUUUUUUUGUGUCUAUACUACUGUUUUAAUUCAGAAAAACUCUGUCUUUAUAUGCAGGUUAAUCUUUUUUAUUCUUACAGAUAGCUCUUUCGCCUUGUGAAAAGAGCUAGACCAGACUGUCACUGAAUUACUGUAUGCAGUAUUCUGAGAUGUUUGAGAUUUUUUCUUAAAAAUUUUGUUGAGGUGAUAAGGUCUCAAAUAAUUUUCUACUUGGAAAAGAUACUUUUAAAGUAGAGCAUUAAGGAUGCCUAACAAAGACAUAGAUAAUUUAUUAGUAAAUUAUAAAAAUAUCUUGUACAUGUUUUCUUAAGGAAAAUAUUACCUUGUUGGAUGAGAACUGAGAAAAAGCAGUAGAGAGAAAUAUUCUGGAGAAAAACAAUGGACCUAAAAAGUUUUCCACUAAACAGAAAGUACAGAGGCCAGUGUCAGGUAUAGCUGGAUCCAGAUGCUCUCACAAUAUGACCAGAAAACUAACUGUAUUCAUUUCUGAGCUUCUUGCAUUUUUAUUUUCAUUCUCUAAAAAACUCUUCCCACCUGGUGGUAAAGAUGGACAGAAAUAACUCAAGUCUUUAUUCUAUCAUAUUCACAACUCUAGCAAAAUAAAUACAUCCCUUUUAUGAUUAUAUUAUUAAAAGUCUUUGAAUUGGCUCUGGUUUUCCAGGCCUGCGUGAUUGGGGCUGGGGUCAGUCUAAUCUGAAUCACGUAGACAGAAUUGUGCAAGAGUGCUGUGCUGAUGAACAUUUUUUUCCACUGCAAAAUAAUCACUAAGUGGAAGUGUGAUAAGUAUCUAUUGCUUAGAAAAUAUUUGUCAUGCUUCUAACGUCCCCAGUCUUGCCAAUAUGCCUGCCUGGCUCUUAGAAGACAGUUGGGUUGUCUUCACUAGUGAAGUCUCCCUCCUUUUCAGGUAUACACACUUCCAGAUGGGUAAAGCCCAUGGAACCUGUGGUGUGCCAUAUUUUUUUUCCAUGAAAAUUUUAGUGAUUUAAAACCAGUGGUGUUUUUCAGGUCAUUGUGUUUCCAUUUAAUAAAGUACUUAAUAUGAGAAUUUUAAAGUUGGGGUCAGUACUCCAUAUUUUGGGCCACGUCUAUCCCUCAGCAUUUUUUUAAUGACAUACCUUAAUUUCAAAAGUAAACUCUUCCCCAGUCAUUCAACAUCCAUUUAUUAUGGGCCUGCUAGUUAUGAUCUACUUAGGUACAAGGUUUGUUAAUUAACAUGUAAAUCAGGGUCUCUGUCCACGAUAUCCAGCAUAAUGAAUCUCAUUUACCCCUGUUCAGAUCUGUCUCUUUUCUUUCUACUCUGAGCUUAGAUUUGCCCCCAUGUAAGAAAUUUAAAUUUUUCAACAAAAAUUCAGUAUUUCUUUUUAACUAAAGCUGUUUUGAAGGCACACUCUAGUGAGAGUAGUCUGAUACAAAUGACACUAUUCAUAGUGAACAACUAACAGGUCAGCUGCAGAUUGAGUCAUGUUUUAACAAGUAGAGCAUGUGUGUGAACUCUGACCCCCAGGCAAGGUUUCUGCAACUUAACAAUUAAAAUAUGAAUGUAAUAAUCUCCUGAAAACUAUUGUACAUGUCAGAAACUCUAACCAAAGUAGUAUUGCCAGGCAAGUUUUCUGCAACUUAACAAUUAAAGUAGUGAAUGUAAUAAUCUCCUGAAAACUAUUGUACAUGUCAGAAACUCUAACCAAAGUAGUAUUGCCAGGCAAGUUUUCUGCAACUUAACAAUUAAAGUAGUGAAUGUAAUAAUCUCCUGAAAACUAUUGUACAUGUCAGAAACUCUAACCAAAGUAGUAUUGCCAGGCAUUGUUCUUGAAAAAACUUACAAUAAGAGAAAAACAUUUUUUUUCCUGUUAUGCCUCUUUUUUUUCAGGAAGAAGCAAAAGGAAUCUUAAUGAAUUGGAGACAAUUGGAGAUGGUUUAUAAGGAUGAAGUUCAAAGGUUUUUCUUUAGAAGCCAUUGAGUUGGUAGUCUAGGAGAGCACCUUGUAGUGGUAUUUGCAUAAGGAGAAAGAUGUCAAAUAUUCAAAGAUGCCUUUACUCAAAGAGCCAGUGGCACUUAAGUGGCCAAAUAGCUUAUAAGCACUUAUUAAGGUAAGCAAAGCCUCACUCAUUGCUUGUUGUCAGACAUCUGAUUCUAAUUAUGGGAGAGCUAGAUAAACGAUGAUGCUUGGGGUAGAUAGAAGCUGGUAUGCCUUUUCUAAGCUCAUUAGUGCUUACAGCUUGCCAGUUUACACAUACACACACAAGGGGUCUGAAAUAAAGACUAGUUUCUGUGUUGUUUGUGUCUGUAUUCUAGUGAUAAUCUUCUGCAGGGAUAAAUACAGCUUCAGAUGUAACCCUAGAUUAAAAAAGCAAAAAAUAAAAAAAAACCUAGCUUUCAGUUCACAUUUUCUCAAAUCACCCUCCAGCCCUAACCCCUGGAGUAUCACUGGAGCUGUAUUACUGUUAUUUCUCCCUAAAUCACACAAUCCCAUUUCUCUACCGUUUUUUGCUUUCCCUAACUGCACUCUAACCCCUGCCACAACAAGAUCAAAAACAACAUCAAGGAAAACCCCACAAAGGUUUUGUUUAAAUUCCCUUCUACCUCACUUUCCAUCAAAUAAAUUCCUUAGAAGUCAUAUCAUGAUUAAUAUUGUUAGUUUUCAGUAGAAUCAUUCCACUAAUUUCACAAAAAUAUGAAUCAUAAAGAUAGAAGAUUGAACAUUAUUUAUAUAUUCUUAUUUCUUCUACUUUUUAUGUUAGAAUCCUAAAAAACAAAAAUUGAUUUUUACUAAUGUGUCAUUGCUACAUAUGAAGCAUAUAUGAGAAAAUUUACUUAAAUUUAACUCAGUUUACAGUAGCCUCACCCAGCUUGCUAUUACUAUUAUCUUUCAAUAAUUUUUCUCCCCAGCUGCUAUCAGCUGCUACUUAAACCUAUGUGCUUAAUAAAUAGAGUUGGGGUGAUUUUCAUUUCUAUUUUCUUCUUUUCCAUAUUUUCAAAAAUUUUCAAGAGAUUUUGUGAUACUGAUCACCUCCUUGAACUGGGGAAAUAACCAGGAAAUACAUUCCACGUCUCAUUGCCUCUGAAUAACCACAUGCACAAGCAACCAUCGCUUAAGGAAGACUCAGAAUUCUAGGGACAACAGAUCAUGUGUGGUUACAGGCACCAUUUUAAAGAUCAGGCUAGCUCUGAGUUGCCAUGGCAAACUAUUUGAAAUAGUCUGCUCUACAGAUUCUGCCUGCUGUAUGGGGUUGUUUAUAUAGUCCAGUGUAAAUGAUAUCACUGGGAAACAACUAAGCUCCUAUUACAAUGACUAAAAUCAACAAGCAAUGACUUGCCAACAUAAUACUUGUUUAUUCUCAUCUUGGUAUGUGUUUCGUGGAAUACUCCUUACAAUUACCAUACACUUAAAAGGGGAAAUUUUACUGAAUGUAAAUUUUAGUUCAAAAAAAAAAAAAAAAAAA
rnacentral:lncRNA from 1 species